rnacentral:rRNA from 1 species
UACGUAGGGACCAAGCGUUGUCCGGAUUUAUUGGGCGUAAAGAGCGUGUAGGCGGCCAUACAGGUCCGUUGUGAAAACUGGAGGCUUAACCUCCAGACGUCGAUGGAAACCGUAUGGCUAGAGUCCGGAAGAGGGAGAGUAGGUAAUUCCGUGGGUGUACGGUGAAAUGCGCAGAUAUCAGGAGGAACACCGAUGGCGAAGGCAGGUCUCUGGGCUGUAACUGACGCUGAGGAGCGAAAGCAUGGGGAGCGAACAGG